GCUCCAAUACUAGAAUUAUGCCUAUAAUAGAGGUCAGCCCAGUCAGCCUAUCCAGCUACCAUAUCAUAAUCAACCGUCAUACCCACCUCCUCAACAGACCAAUCUAGCCGACAAUAGAUUUAACCAAUUCCAACAAUUGAUUAUGACCCAAUAACAAUCUAUCGUUAGGUUAGAAGUAUAAAUAGGAUAGUUAGCUGAGUCUACCAUGAGAAGAGAAUCAGGUCAAUUGCCAAGCCAACCGAUACCAAACCCCAAGAACAACCCAUCCACCC
rnacentral:lncRNA from 1 species